UUAUGCAAGACAGGUGUGAAAUCCCCGGGCUCAACCUGGGAACUGCACUUGUGACUGCAUGACUAGAGUGCGUCAGAGGGAGGUGGAAUUCCGCGUGUAGCAGUGAAAUGCGUAGAGAUGCGGAGGAACACCGAUGGCGAAGGCAGCCUCCUGGGAUGACACUGACGCUCAGGCACGAAAGCGUGGGGAGCAAACAGGAAUAGAUACCCUGGUAGUCCACGCCCUAAACGAUGUCAACUACUUUGUCGGGGAUUCAUUUCCUUGGUAACGCAGCUAACGCGUGAAGUUGACCGCCUGGGGAGUACGGCCGCAAGGUUAAAACUCAAAGGAAUUGACGGGGACCCGCACAAGCGGCGGAUGAUGUGGAUUAAUUCGAUGCAACGCGAAAAACCUUACCUACGCUUGACAUGCCAGGAACUUUCCAGAGAUGGAUUGGUGCCCGAAAGGGAACCUGGACACAGGUGCUGCAUGGCUGUCGCCACCCUCGUGUCGUGAGAUGUUGGGUUAAGUCCCGCAACGAGCGCAACCCUUUUCCUUAGUUGCUACGCAAGGGCACUCUAGGGAUACUGCCGGUGACAAACCGGAGGAAGGUGGGGAUGACGUCAAGUCCUCAUGGCCCUUAUGUGUAGGGCUUCACACGUCAUACAAUGGUCGGUACAGAGGGUCGCCAACCCGCGAGGGGGAGCCAAUCCCAGAAAACCGAUCGUAGUCCGGAUUGCACUCUGCAACU
rnacentral:rRNA from 1 species